UUAAAUCUUGUUGACUUCAGACAGCUUUGGAAUUUUGAUUACAUCUUCAAAGAGCAAGCAAUCUUUCCCACUCCAGUUUCAGAGUUUUAUCUACUUACCCAAAUCAAAUUAAAUCAUUGACAAGAACUGAGAAUGGGAGAGACCUCUCUUUCCAAGUUUGACAAUAAUCUGCUGAGAGACACUCAGAUCCAUGAUUUUUGAUAAGCAUUAACUACAUGAUAACUAAUUCUAAGCAUUUUUUUCUUGCUUAAAGAAACAUCAUGAAGACAGUCUCCGUUUUAUUGAGGCCAAGGUACAUAACAUAGCUGUUUUCCUGUCUUUCCCAAUUGCUGAGUCAUGAACAGUGAGAAGCCCAAAUUCAGCAUGUUUGUUUACUUACUGGUGAUCCCUGAAUGCCUAUUCCAGGGGGCCCCAUCUCCCCAGGUGCUCCCUGUACACCAGGCUCCUGCAACAUCCUUUGUGAUUCUUCCUGAAUCCACUACUUCCCAUUUUGCAAGAUGAGUACAUUUUUGUCCUUGUUCCAGUUAUUUUCUUUGCCUUUCUUUCAGCUCACUUCUUCAGACUAGAAUUUAUUGGUUUCCCUUGUACCCCACAAUGUAUAAAUACCACAACACAUCACAUAGCUCAGAGCACACCUGUACAACCUAUUUUUUCUCCUUCUUUACGUUCACUACAUGCACACAUAAUUUUAGAUCUUGCUGAUGUGGCUGAAUUCUAACAAAGGGAUUUCUACAAGCAAAAUACAAUGUCCUAAGGAGAUCCAGCCUUGGCUCACAUCUGAGCCAGUGUAGCUGCCCUAGAGCUCUGCCAAGAUGAAUAUGUGUGACUGUGAAGUGGGAUUUUAUACAUUAGUCUGGGUAGGACACUACACUGAAAAGGUUGUUCUGUAGUCAGGACCUGAACUGACAUUUCUGCACAGCACAGAUUUAACAAAAGUCCAACCUCUUUGAAAUAUUACUUAAAUUAUUCAUCUAAAGAGCAACUGUGUUGCCAAACUGGCCUGAGCUAUCUCCGAAUGCAGAGAUGUUUCUUCUCCAAGACACAGGGGGUUGCUGCUGGUACAUUUUAAAAUCACUUCAUACAGCAGCCACACAGAUGCACUACAGAAGAAUGGAAGGCUACUCUUGAAGAGAAAAUUUAAAAUGCUUUAACAUACCAACUUUAAAUAAAAGCACUUAAAACAUACCUUGUCUCCUUUAA